rnacentral:rRNA from 1 species
AUUGAACGCUGGCGGCAUGCCUUACACAUGCAAGUCGAACGGCAGCACGGGUGCUUGCACCUGGUGGCGAGUGGCGAACGGGUGAGUAAUACAUCGGAACAUGUCCUGUAGUGGGGGAUAGCCCGGCGAAAGCCGGAUUAAUACCGCAUACGAUCUACGGAUGAAAGCGGGGGACCUUCGGGCCUCGCGCUAUAGGGUUGGCCGAUGGCUGAUUAGCUAGUUGGUGGGGUAAAGGCCUACCAAGGCGACGAUCAGUAGCUGGUCUGAGAGGACGACCAGCCACACUGGGACUGAGACACGGCCCAGACUCCUACGGGAGGCAGCAGUGGGGGAUUUUGGACAAUGGGCGAAAGCCUGAUCCAGCAAUGCCGCGUGUGUGAAGAAGGCCUUCGGGUUGUAAAGCACUUUUGUCCGGAAAGAAAUCCUUGGCCCUAAUACGGUCGGGGGAUGACGGUACCGGAAGAAUAAGCACCGGCUAACUACGUG